rnacentral:SRP_RNA from 1 species
AGGCCAGCAUCAAUAUGGUGAUCCCUGAGGAGCUCGGGGUCACCAGGUUGCCUAAGGAGGGGUGAACCGGCCCAGGUUGGAAACGGAGUAGGUCACACUCCCGUGCCGGUCA